UUAGUGGAAGCGUCUGGAAAGGCGCGCGAUACAGGGUGACAGCCCCGUACACAAAAGCGCAUGUGCUGUGAGCUCGAUGAGUAGGGCGGGACACGUGGUAUCCUGUCUGAAUAUGGGGGGACCAUCCUCCAAGGCUAAAUACUCCUGACUGACCGAUAGUGAACCAGUACCGUGAGGGAAAGGCGAAAAGAACCCCGGCGAGGGGAGUGAAAAAGAACCUGAAACCGUGUACGUACAAGCAGUGGGAGCACCCUUUGGGGUGUGACUGCGUACCUUUUGUAUAAUGGGUCAGCGACUUAUAUUCUGUAGCAAGGUUAACCGUAUAGGGGAGCCGUAGGGAAACCGAGUCUUAACCGGGCGUUAAGUUGCAGGGUAUAGACCCGAAACCCGGUGAUCUAGCCAUGGGCAGGUUGAAGGUUGGGUAACACUAACUGGAGGACCGAACCGACUAAUGUUGAAAAAUUAGCGGAUGACCUGUGGCUGGGGGUGAAAGGCCAAUCAAACCGGGAG
rnacentral:rRNA from 1 species